rnacentral:rRNA from 1 species
UACGCAGGGUGCAAGCGUUAAUCGGAAUUACUGGGCGUAAAGCGUGCGCAGGCGGUAAUGCAAGACAGAUGUGAAAUCCCCGGGCUCAACCUGGGAACUGCAUUUGUGACUGCAUUGCUGGAGUGCGGCAGAGGGGGAUGGAAUUCCGCGUGUAGCAGUGAAAUGCGUAGAUAUGCGGAGGAACACCGAUGGCGAAGGCAAUCCCCUGGGCCUGCACUGACGCUCAUGCACGAAAGCGUGGGGAGCAAACAGG